rnacentral:rRNA from 1 species
UCAGGGUUAGUCGGGACCUAAGCUGAGGCCGAAAGGCGUAGGCGAUGGACAACAGAUUGAUAUUUCUGUACCACCUCGUUAUCAUUUGAACGAUGGGGAGACGCAGGAGGAUAAGAAGAGCGCACCGCUGGUCGAGUGCGUCCAAGCAGUUAGGGAGUUGAAUAGGCAAAUCCGUUCAACAAUCUUGAGCUGUGAUGGGGAGGGAAAUUUAGUACCGAAGCUUCUGAUUCCACACUGCCAAGAAAAUCCUCUAGUGAGAUAACAGGUGCCCGUACCGUAAACCAACACAGGUAGGCACGAAGAGUAUUCGAAGGUGAGCGGGACAACUCUCGUUAAGGAACUCGGCAAAAUGACCCCGUAACUUCGGGAGAAGGGGUGCUUCUUUUACGAGAAGCCGCAGUGAAUAGGCUCAAGCGACUGUUUAUCAAAAACACAGGUCUCUGCGAAGCCGCAAGGCGAAGUAUAGGGGCUGACAUCUGCCCGGUGCUGGAAGGUUAAGAGAAUGUGUUAGAACUUCAUCGAAGCCCCAGUAAACGGCGGCCGUAACUAUAACGGUCCUAAGGUAGCGAAAUUCCUUGUCGGGUAAGUUCCGACCCGCACGAAAGAUGCAACGACUCGAGCACUGUCUCAACGAGAGACCCGGUGAAAUUAUACUAUGCGUGAAGAUGCGCAUUACCCGCGACAGGACGGAAAGACCCCGUGGAGCUUUACUGUAGUCUGAUAUUGAAUGUUUGUAUAGCUUGUACAGGAUAGGUGGGAGCCUGAGAAACGUGAGCGCUAGCUUACGUGGAGGCAUCCGUGGGAUACCACUCUGGCUGUAUGACCAUUCUAACCCAGGACCGUAAUCCGGUUCGGAGACAGUUUCAGAUAGGCAGUUUGACUGGGGCGGUCGCCUCCCAAAGAGUAACGGAGGCGCUCAAAGGUUCUCUCAGAAUGGUUGGAAAUCAUUCGUAGCGUGUAAAGGCAGAAGAGAGCUUGACUGCGAGACCUACAAGUCGAGCAGGUACGAAAGUAGGACUUAGUGAUCCGGUGGUUCCGCAUGGAAGGGCCAUCGCUCAACGGAUAAAAGCUACCCCGGGGAUAACAGGCUUAUCUCCCCCAAGAGU